ensembl:lncRNA
AGUGUGUACACGUCCAUUCUAAACUCCCUAACUGUCCCUUCUCUCCAUCAUUCCUCUGGCAACCGAAAGUUUGUUCUAAGUCUGUUUCUGUUGUGUAAGUUUUCCAGUCAUUAAAGCUUUGUCCGAAAGACAGAAGACUCCUGGAUAAAACGUCGGUUCCUAAGAAGGAGGACAAACAUACCUUCCCUACUCUCCUUUCCUCUUCCCUCUGAAGAGAACAAGCUGCCCUGACCUCCAGGGCUCCAUCAGCUUCUCUUUGCAGAAAGCACACUUUCUUCAUGUCAAAAUCUCCAUUUGGCUGUGCUGGGGGUCACCUCUAUCCUGUGGGCUCCAACCAGUCCAGACGCCUCUUGCCUCAUGGAGAGUUCUCCUUCGCUAGCCAUGGACCUUGGCUGGGACCAUUCCAUGUCUUUCGAAGCUCUAAAUGGACAGAGAUCUUGCUAAAUGAAGAGACAUUUGGAUUUUUCAAAUUCUUCACUAUGUCACACAGUGUUUGGCUCAGUAAAUAAACUUUGG